GCUGCCACUUCCCUCUCUCAUCACAGAGAACAGAGAGGACUCCCUGCAAAGUGUCCAGUGACCUCUUGGUGGCCUUUUCUCCAUCGUGGAUCUCCUGGGCCUCGCUGCAGCCUUGGAUGCUCCGGGCCACUCUCUGCUCUCUGGGUUUCAGGACAGACCCUGUCUCCCGGCUCUCCUCCUUCCUCUCUGACUACUCCCCCUCUGUCUCCUCUGCACGCUGUUUCAUAGUUAGAUUGGGGACUUCUUGGGGGCAGGGCCAUACUUCACCUCUUUUUGUACCCCUAGCUUAGCACAAUGCCGGGAACUUAGUAGGUGCUAGAAGAGGUUAUUGACUGAGUGACGCAGGCAGGAGUAAGGCCAGCGAGUGAUGGGCAGGCUUGGCAGAGCAAGAACGGGGAUGGGAUGGUGGGCAAAGGGCCCAAGAGAAGAGGGCCCGCCCCUAGGGGGUCAGAUGGGGAGGAGAGCAGAGGGCAGGCAGUGGAGGGGAAAUUGAAGGUCAGGGGGCACAGGCACGGGCGCUGUAGCCGCUUAAGGGGAUUCCAGAGUUCAUGGACAUGCAGGUGGGGCUUUGGGGGGAUAUGACCAUCUCUGUGUGUGGCAGGGGUGAAGUCGGGGUGUUGGGAGGAGAGCGAGGCGUAGGAAGGCCCUUAGGAGGAGGGCAGGGGUUUGGGAGGAGAGAAAGAUGGUGAGCCAGAUGUGAACCAACGGAGGGGGAAGGACAGGCACAGCGUCCUUGUAGACAGCGGCCACGGGGACUCUGGGCGGGCAGAAGGAGAGAGGAAGGAAGAGGCUGAAGAGAAAGUAGGUUUGUUCCCCAGGGAGCGGGCAUCAGGGAUGGGGGCAAGGGAAGGAGCAGCGGAUGGGGAGCGGGCCUUGAACGAGGCAGCUCGAAGAGACUGCUGACUGACAGAGUGAGUCCGGGACACGAGGGUGGUCGCAGAGGUCUGUGGAGAGAGAGAUUUAAUUAUAAGGAUGAAGAUCUGGUAGAAGAGGCCAAGGAGAGGUCAGACUGGUGGAAGGGAGCAGUGUCAUGGAAGCCCAGAGAGAAGUGGGCCAAGAGAACAAGCACUGAUUAGUCACUUAUGAGCUGGGCACUGUGUGCUAAGUGAUUUACAAAUAUUUUCUCAUUUGAUCCUCAGAGUAACCCUGCAAGAGAAAGAAAUGGCAAACCAUUCCAGUAGCUUCGCCAAGAAAACCGCAAAUAAAGUCAUGAAGGAGAGUGGGAUGUGACUGAAAGGAAUGAACGAC